rnacentral:rRNA from 1 species
UAGGGAAUCUUCCGCAAUGGGCGAAAGCUUGACGGCGCAACGCCGCGUGAGUGAUGAAGGUCUUCGGAUCGUAAAACUCUGUUAUUAGGGAAGAACAAAUGUGUAAGUAACUAUGCACGUCUUGACGGUACCUAAUCAGAAAGCCACGGCUAACUACGUGCCAGCAGCCGCGGUAAUACGUAGGUGGCAAGCGUUAUCCGGAAUUAUUGGGCGUAAAGCGCGCGUAGGCGGUUUUUUAAGUCUGAUGUGAAAGCCCACGGCUCAACCGUGGAGGGUCAUUGGAAACUGGAAAACUUGAGUGCAGAAGAGGAAAGUGGAAUUCCAUGUGUAGCGGUGAAAUGCGCAGAGAUAUGGAGGAACACCAGUGGCGAAGGCGACUUUCUGGUCUGUAACUGACGCUGAUGUGCGAAAGCGUGGGGAUCAAACAGG